rnacentral:rRNA from 1 species
AUGAGAAGAUGUGCAAAACUUUCCAUGACUAAAAAAAUAGCCGUUUUGCAUCUGUAUAGUUUUGACCUAUUAAAUAUUGAACCUACCAUUUGUUAUGAGUACCAUGAGUAUAAUGCUGUUCUUAUCCUGGCUGAGUCUGGUGAAGUACUAACAAUGAGUUUGUUGGUCGGCCUUCCAGAUCUGGAGUGGAAGCUUAUAUAUGUUGGAUCAGCUGAAGAUGAGAACUAUGAUCAGCAACUUGAGAGUGUGCUUGUUGGCCCUGUGAAUGUUGGGACAUACCGUUUUGUUCUGGAGGCCGACCCCCCUGAUCCCUCAAAGAUCCGCGAGGAGGACAUAAUCGGUGUCACGGUGCUUUUGUUGACCUGUUCAUACAUGGGGCAGGAGUUCAUCAGAGUAGGCUACUACGUGAACAAUGAUUAUGAUGAUGAGCAACUUAGGGAAGAACCCCCGGCGAAGCUGCUGAUUGACCGGGUGCAGAGAAAUAUUUUGACCGACAAGCCCCGGGUCACCAAGUUCCCCAUCAAUUUCCAUCCUGAAACAAGCGGAGGACAGCAGCAAGAUCAACCACAAUCAGCUGUACCUGAAAACCCUACAGGCGAAGGGAGCAAGGCCAGCACAGAUCUUUGA